GGAGAUAUAGCUCAGUUGGUAGAGUGCCUGCCUUGUAUGCACAAGGUCCUGGGUUCAAUCCUCAGCACCA
rnacentral:tRNA from 1 species